rnacentral:rRNA from 1 species
GAUGAACGCUGGCGGCGUGGAUUAGGCAUGCAAGUCGAGCGAGAACCGUAGCAAUACGGGGACAGCGGCGAAAGGGACAGUAAUGUGUAGGUACCUACCUCCGGGUUCGGGAUAGCUGCGGGAAACUGCAGGUAAUACCGAAUAACGUCUCCGGACCAAAGGUGUGAUUCCACCUGGAGAGGGGCCUGCAUCCUAUUAGCUUGUUGGCGGGGUAACGGCCCACCAAGGCGACGAUGGGUAGCGGGUGUGAGAGCACGACCCGCGUCAUUGGGACUGAGACACUGCCCAGACACCUACGGGUGGCUGCAGUCGUGAAUCUUCGGCAAUGGGCGCAAGCCUGACCGAGCGACGCCGCGUGCGGGAUGAAGGCCUUCGGGUUGUAAACCGCUGUCGUAGAGGAGGAAAUGCAGGGGGGUUCUCCCCUCUGUUUGACCUAUUCUAGGAGGAAGUACGGGCUAAGUUCGUGCCAGCCGCCGCUGUAA